rnacentral:rRNA from 1 species
AACGUAGGACACAAGCGUUAUCCGGAGUUACUGGGCGUAAAGCGUGCGCAGGCGGUUUUGUAAGACCGAUGUGAAAUCCCCGGGCUUAACCUGGGAACUGCAUUGGUGACUGCAAGGCUUGAGUGUGUCAGAGGGAGGUGGAAUUCCGCGUGUAGCAGUGAAAUGCGUAGAUAUGCGGAGGAACACCGAUGGCGAAGGCAGCCUCCUGGGAUAACACUGACGCUCAUGCACGAAAGCGUGGGGAGCAAACAGG